CUUUAUUAAUCAUAGUCGAGUUAUUUUUUCCUAGGUUCAAAUCCUGGUUACUUUUUAGUUUUGUAAAACGCAUUUAAGCUUAGCUUUAGAAAUCUAUGUGUGAUUUGACUGGGGUCAGGUAGGCAUUAUUUAGACAACCAUAAAUAUAAUUUGCUAAAAUAAAUAAAAUCGGGGAUUGUCGAAUGUACUUAAAUUCUCUGAUUAGAGAAAUUAACAGCCAUAUACUUUAAGUUUUUAUAUAUUACUUAUUACACGAUAGUACUUAGGUUCUAAUCUAAUUUCUUUAAUUUCUUUCUGUUUCCUUGAACUACAAUUAACCUUGUUAUAUAGAACCAGACGUGAACACUAUAGUUUUAUUAAGACUAAACUUUCAAUACGAGACAAAGUA
rnacentral:rRNA from 1 species